CCUACGGGUGGCAGCAGUAGGGAAUAUUGCUCAAUGGGGGAAACCCUGAAGCAGCAACGCCGCGUGGAGGAUGAAGGUUUUCGGAUUGUAAACUCCUUUUGUUAGAGAAGAUGAUGACGGUAUCUAACGAAUAAACACCGGCUAACUCCGUGCCAGCAGCCGCGGUAAUACGGAGGGUGCAAGCGUUACUCGGAAUCACUGGGCGUAAAGAGCGCGUAGGCGGGAUAGCAAGUCAGAUGUGAAAUCCUAGGGCUUAACCCUCGAACUGCAUUUGAAACUGUUAUUCUAGAGUAUGGGAGAGGUAGGUGGAAUUCUUGGUGUAGGGGUAAAAUCCGUAGAGAUCAAGAGGAAUACUCAUUGCGAAGGCGACCUGCUAGACCAUAACUGACGCUGAUGCGCGAAAGCGUGGGGAGCAAACAGGAUUAGAUACCCCAGUAGUC
rnacentral:rRNA from 1 species